CUCCUCUUCCCUGUCUGCAGGCUGAGCCGGAGACGGGCCACGGGGCGGCGGAUGCAAGCUUCGCGAAGCCCAGCCCACAAGCCGCAGAGCCCGAACCGCUCUGAAAGAGAAAAGCAGUAAGCGUCUCGCAGUCACGGCCGCUUCCCGCCCUCACCCACGGGCACCUCUCGGCCCUCACCCCGCAGCCCGUGAGCACAGGACACUGUUCAUAGUGACCUCGACCCGCACGCCGAGGCGCACCUUGCUGCGUCACUUCCGUCGCACAAAACCGGAAGCCAAACCUCACAUCAAAUUUCACGACUGCAAGACGUGAGUCCAGCCACGCAACGGAAAUGAUGCAUUUCCUCUCCGAGCUCUUCCGUCUCGGGCCCCGCCCUGAUGGCGGUCAGGGCGACCUAAGGGUUUCCGAAACGGUCAGCCCCUCCUUAGAGGCCUGAGCCGGCGCGGCGGAUUGAAGGUGAAGCAGACUCGGCUCUCGGAAGAGCUUGGACCGGGGCUGUUUGGUGUGAUGCCCACGACGCCCACAGACUUGAGAACUCGUGGUAUCUGCUGGCUUCUUUCCAGGAUCGUCGCCCCGGAGGGACUUGGUCCCUGUUCUCCAGGAGCGCGUCUUCCAUUCUUAGCGCUUCAUCCGGGCCCUCAGGCCCGGAGAAUCAGCCAGAGAACCUUGUAAUCCCAACACUGUGGAGCCGGAAACAAGAGGAUCACUGGUUCCAAGCCAGCUUGUACUACCCAGCUUGACAUCAACCCAAUUUAAAAUACAAAAUUAAAGAAACAAACAAAAAACCCAG